AGAGUUUGAUCAUGGCUCAGGACGAACGCUGGCGGCGUGCCUAACACAUGCAAGUCGAACGGAGCGCUAUUGAAGAACUUUUCGGAGGGAAUCGAGAGCAGCUUAGUGGCGGACGGGUGAGUAACGCGUGAGGAACCUGCCUUUCAGAGGGGGACAACAGCUGGAAACGGCUGCUAAUACCGCAUAACGCAGCGGGAUCGCAUGAUCCUGCUGCCAAAGAAUUAUCGCUGAAAGAUGGCCUCGCGUCUGAUUAGAUAGUUGGUGAGGUAACGGCCCACCAAGUCGACGAUCAGUAGCCGGACUGAGAGGUUGACCGGCCACAUUGGGACUGAGACACGGCCCAGACUCCUACGGGAGGCAGCAGUGGGGAAUAUUGCGCAAUGGGGGGAACCCUGACGCAGCAACGCCGCGUGAAGGAAGAAGGUCUUCGGAUUGUAAACUUUUGUCUUCAGGGAAGAAGAAGUGACGGUACCUGAGGAGGAAGCUCCGGCUAACUACGUGCCAGCAGCCGCGGUAAUACGUAGGAGCGAGCGUUGUCCGGAAUUACUGGGUGUAAAGGGUG
rnacentral:rRNA from 1 species